UACGUAGGGUGCAUGCGUUGUCCGGAAUUAUUGGGCGUAAAGAGCUCGUAGGCGGUUUGUUGCGUCGGCUGUGAAAUCCCGAGACUCAACCUCGGGUCUGCAGUCGAUACGAGCAAACUAGAGUGUUGCAGGGGAGACUGGAAUUCCUGGUGUAGCGGUGAAAUGCGCAGAUAUCAGGAGGAACACCGGUGGCGAAGGCGGGUCUCUGGGCAACAACUGACGCUGAGGAGCGAAAGCGUGGGGAGCGAACAGG
rnacentral:rRNA from 1 species